rnacentral:tRNA from 22 species
GGCGGCAUAGCCAAGCGGUAAGGCACGGGUCUGCAACACCCUUACCACCGGUUCGAUUCCGGUUGCCGCCUCCA